CCUGACUAUCUGUGCUCAUUCAAUUCUCAGGGAUUGACGGUAGUCAAUAUAUCUGCAACAACGUUCCUGCAAAACAUUGGAUUGGCUCCACGGGUAUCUUCUUGAGUGUAUUGAGCAUGGCAUUUCGUCAGUGUCCAUUGAAAACAUUAGGCCUGUGGAAAAGCAGAAUACAUGAGAUUAGAGGUAUAUUACGAUGCUCAGCACCAAUUUUACUCAUUUGGUAAGC